rnacentral:rRNA from 1 species
GGAGGGAAACGAAUGCAGCUAAAUUAGCUCUGUUUCAGGCUCAGGAGAUUGUUGGUUUGCGAUGCCGGGCUUCAAAAGCCGAUAGGUUUUGAUUCCGGAUAGUGGUCGGCAUUCCUGAGUGGAGCUAGCCAACAACAGUUGCACGUGGCUGAUAAGGGAAACAUAUAGCCAUCUGCGACUGAGGAGAACAGUGUAGGCCCUUGGGCCGCUUCUGGUCGUUUCACCGCGCUUGGGGCAGUGUCAUGUGACGGCUGUCUGCUCGAACGGGAGACCGGUCACACCUUACACUGUAGUUGUUGGUGUUCAAAUGGCUGCAUCCGACCCGUCUUGAAACACGGACCAAGGAGUGCAACAUGCGUGCGAGUCUUUGGGUAUCAAACCCAGCGGCACAAUGAAAGUGAAGGCAGGCCGCAUCGUCGACCGAUCCCAGGUCACGCUGUGGCGGGAUUUGAGUGAGAGCGUGCCUGUUGCGACCCGAAAGAUGGUGAACUAUGCCUGAAUAGGGUGAAGCCAGAGGAAACUCUGGUGGAAGCUCGUAGCGAUUCUGACGUGCAAAUCGAUCGUCAAAUUUG